UACGUAGGGUGCAAGGCGUUAAUCGGAAUUACUGGGCGUAAAGCGUGCGCAGGCGGUUAUGUAAGACAGGUGUGAAAUCCCCGGGCUAACCUGGGAACUGCAUUUGUGACUGCAUAGCUAGAGUACGGUAGAGGGGGAUGGAAUUCCGCGUGUAGCAGUGAAAUGCGUAGAUAUGCGGAGGAACACCGAUGGCGAAGGCAAUCCCUGGACCUGUACUGACGCUCAUGCACGAAAGC
rnacentral:rRNA from 1 species